rnacentral:lncRNA from 10 species
UGCCUUCAAAGAAUUGUUUUUUCAAAUUUUGUCUAAGGUGGGGCAGCAUCUUCUACUAUGUGCAUCUACAUUGGAUGGCAGUGGAGCAACACAGAUUGUUUUCUGACAAAAAUCAGCCAAGUACUAGGAGAGGCAGGACUUUAGAAGUGGAGGAGAUGGAGAAGGAAGCUUAGGUUACUAUGGAGUGUGCAAAAAGGUCCUGUGGAUUUAGAUACCACCACACACAAAUGCUGUUGUUGGAAGGUACCUGCCCAGAUAAGGACUGCAUUUCCUCUAGCAUCCAGAUGGGACCAAAUGACUGCUGGCCAAUAGAAGUGAGUGGAAAGGACUGACUCCAGUUCCAGGUUGGGCCUCCAACUGCUCUGGGCACGUCGAUGGAACAGAACACCACCUCCACCCCAAUACCACCAAUUCAACUUUACAUGAAUUAUAAGCGAGAAAUAACUUGGACUGUGUUAAGUCAUUGAGUUUCUGGGGUUUAACUGUUAUUAUAGUUAAGAAUGACUUUAACUAAUAUAGUCAAUGACAUCUAACUGGAGUUAUGAAAUUCAAUUUCUACUUAGAGUAAUUGAAGCAAAGGUUGUGGGGGAGGGGAGGAGGGCAGCACACCAUGAAAUCAGAGAUCCCCAGUACGUGUUAGUUCAUCAGUCAAUCAGUCUUAAGGUCAGGGUGUAGUGUGGGCAGCAGUUGCCUCCCUCUCCCCACAGAACACCCUGAGAAUAGGAAGUUAGAGUAGUCGCAUCUUAUUACUUACAAAACAUUACCUCAAAAUGCAAACUACCCCCUGGACCCAAACUCUCUACAAUCACCAGGUUCCAUAAACUAUAAUCUACUCUGUUUUCUGGAAGAAAAUAUUAACCUGUUAAAAUUCCCUGC